rnacentral:misc_RNA from 1 species
UCCGACUCCAGUUCUCUUGGGACAUCAGAAGCACUUCUCUCUAGCUUCAACUCUACAUGCAGGGAGUCUGAAGCUACAAUUGAAUCCAGAGCUUCACCUCCAACACCGUCAAGUUGCCCAGGCUGAAUCUUUAUAGAGUCAGACAAUUUUGACACCAGAUCAGUGGAUGCAUUCUUGGCUUCAACAACUACAUCUUCUGUACUGUUAGGAUUUUCUUUCCCUGAGGAGUUAGCUUCAUGCUCGGAUUCUGAUGCUCUAACUUCAAAUACAUCAGGUGAAUCAAGGGUAGAAGUAACAGAAAGUUCAGUACCACAUUC